rnacentral:rRNA from 1 species
UACGGGGGGGGCAAGCGUUGUUCGGAAUUACUGGGCGUAAAGGGCUCGUAGGCGGCCGACUAAGUCAGACGUGAAAUCCCCCGGCUUAACCGGGGAACUGCGUCUGAUACUGGACGGCUUGAAUUCGGGAGAGGGAUGCGGAAUUCCAGGUGUAGCGGUGAAAUGCGUAGAUAUCAGGAGGAACACCGAUGGCGAAGGCAGGUCACUGGGCCGCAACUGACGCUGAGGAGCGAAAGCAUGGGGAGCGAACAGG